GAAACAGGUGCUAAUACCGCAUAACAGUUUAUGCCGCAUGGCAUAAGAGUGAAAGGCGCUUUCGGGUGUCGCUGAUGGAUGGACCCGCGGUGCAUUAGCUAGUUGGUGAGGUAACGGCUCACCAAGGUCACGAUGCAUAGCCGACCUGAGAGGGUGAUCGGCCACACUGGGACUGAGACACGGCCCAGACUCCUACGGGAGGCAGCAGUAGGGAAUCUUCGGCAAUGGACGAAAGUCUGACCGAGCAACGCCGCG
rnacentral:rRNA from 1 species